GGUGGGCACAGCCCUGAAUGGAAGCCACAGCUCUAGAUGGUUCCCUUGGGAGGGAAGGGUGUGCUUUGUGCAAUGACUGAACAGAAGAGCUGUAUGAAUUCUCAAGACCAGAGAAUAAAGCCUCUCUCUCUUUGUUUAUCGAAUUCUAAUCUAUCAAAUUCUAUAGAAAAGCAGCAUCAGGCUGAAGACUUCUUAUGCAAGAUGAGUAGUGAUGGCCAAGCUCCCCUUGACUCAUUUCAGAAUUAAGCUUGUUUUCCAACAGGACCUACUGAGGCGUUAAUCUUUGACCUGCACUGCUGUGACGGAGAAGAACAGCAUUUUUGUUCAUUUCUCAGAGACUCUCAAGUGGAUUACAGUAAUUUGCCUCAUAGCACCCCAGGGGAAGUGUGACUUUUAUUAGUGACCUCUUUAGGAUAGUAUCUUUCCUGCAGAGACAAUGGAAAAAUGAGAGGAAAAGGUUAUGCACCUUGAGUUGGUAGGAAACCUCCUGUAUGCAGUAUGCAAGCUAGAAGAUGCACCAAGAAUAAGCUGCAGUCUUGAAUUAGCUGGAAAAGGUGCAUCCUGUUAAAAGAAAGAGCUAAAUCUCUAGUAGAAGGCCAUAAAGCUCCUGUUAACAAAUGAUGUUUGACCCCAGUAUCUGGUAUUCAGACGUAUACUGCCUCAGACAUGAAAGUUUCAACUGGGCAGCAUUUAGAUGAGUCAGUCAUAACUAAGCACCAUUGAACUCAAUGAGACAAGUUAGUCAUGACCCUGCCUAUUGGAUAUAUGAAAACAGCAGACUUCUUCAAUCAUUCAACUAUUUAUUGCUAACAACUUAUUGAAAAAUUUAAAACUUUUAAUUUUUAAAUUAAAUACGUGGGGCAGGGGGACCAAGCAUAUACUUAUCUGCAGAUGGCCUCUAGUUUCUAGCCCACCUGAGCCUAGGACUGAUCAGUCCCCUGAGGAGAUCAUACAGACCCAACCACUCACAGAGGUUUCUACUGCAAAUUAAAACUGCUCCCCUGCUUUCUCAUGUGGCCUUCCUGGCCUUAUCUAAUCGCUCCAAAAAAGCCAAAGUAACAGAAGCUGCACACAGUGACAAUGUUUUUUUCUUCAAGUUCUUAACUGGAAAAAGGCAUAUACAAAUAGUGUAAGGCAGGCACCCUUAGGAAACUGAAAAGAAAAGAAGGUCAUAGCCAUUCCCACUGUGGGAAAUCCUGUAGUAAGUAAAUCAAACGACAUCUGGAAGGUAAGUCUUCCAAAAUAAGUCAACAUCUUGAACUCAAAAGCAAACAAACAUUGAGAAAUAAGGAUACCACUUGAGCUGCAAAACUCUCUCCUCAACAGAUGGGCAAUUUGCAGUUCCUAAAGUCUGAGGAAUCCUACCAUAAUUGUAGGCAUUUUUCCACUGCACAAUGUGGCUGCCGCUUUGAAGCUCAGGGACUUAGAGAAGUCCUUCUAUCCACUUUCGUUAUCUUUUCUGUGUUAAGUAAUCAGAUCUCAUCAAAAUGCAAAUUAGCAACAUGGCAGAAACCCUCCCUGGGAAUUACAUAUUACUUCCCUAUCUUAUUUUUUUUCUCUCUCCCCACCAUGCACUAAACAUCUUUGAAGCUGAUGCUACACAUAGAUACAUCUUCCCAAGUGAUGUUCUCAAAUAUAUAACUCACAAGUAGCAGCUCUGUUUUCUCCUUUUUGGAUUAUUAAAACUGAACUCUACUUUCGGUCCCUGCUGAUCAUUUAAAAAGUUACUUCUUCAAACCCUUUCAAGGGUCAGUGUAUUAAAUAUGCUAUAAAUUGUUCAUUUCUG